rnacentral:tmRNA from 1 species
GGGGCUGACUGGUUUUGACAGCGCGUAGAGGUGGUAUGUAAGCGUGCAGAGCAAUGAUGGCUACGCUCUUUAAUCAGAGACAUCGAGCAAUUUAAAUGGCGAAAAUAACUACGCUCUUGCUGCUUGAUUGAAGUACAGUAGAUCAGCUUAAUCUCCGCAACAGUUGCAGAGACAAGACAUCGCCCGACAGUCGUUUUUCCGAGACAGGUCGAUCAGGCGGUGCUCAUAAAUCGGGAAUAGGAAACCAAGAGUCUCGCGCGGUCUCCGAAAUUUUAGAGAAUAAGGCAAUGAUUGGUCGUUUCACGCCUGUCAUCGCACGAAAAUCAAGUUGAAACUACGCACGUAGAAAGCAUAUUAGUUCCGCGUUUGGACGAGGGUUCAACCCCCUCCAGCUCCACA